CUUGACGUCAGUUCUAGGCCACGUCAUCCCACCCGGUUUGGCUUGUUGACCCGCGUAUUGACUGACUCGACUGGCCUCUACUUCACGGAACUAGAUUGAGCAAGAACAUAGCAGUUACAAUAGCUUCUCGCCAAAAAAUAGAACCUAAUGAAGAAUGGCUUAACAUAGACCUUACCAUGUCCAACAAGGUUCUAUUACGUCUUUCAGCAACACCAUUUGUUGUGGUGUAUAGCUCAUAGUGUCAUGAUCUUCACAGUUCCAAUGCCUAACACAUCAUAAUAUGUGUUAUUGCCCAUGUAUACACGAUGAUCACCGGCUUUAACCUCUUUCAUGUCAAAAACGAAAUCUCUCGACUUUGCCACAUGGCAUGACGAUGCAGAGUCUACCCACCAUGCUCUGGAGUCAACAUCAAUUAACAGAGAUUCAGAUACUACACAAAUUAUAUCCUUGGAACCUCCAUAAUUUGGUUUGUUAUUAUGUUUAUUUUCACGACAAUCAGCUUGAUAAUGGCCAAUUUUUCCACACUUAAAACACUUUCCCUUACCCCUUUUAUUCUUAUCAUUGUUCUUGAAAUUCUUUCCUUUCCCUUUGAAAUUUUUAGAAAAGUUUUUCUUGUCAUUUUUAGUAGUUUCAUUCUUUGGGGAUUGACUAGUGGAAGCAGAGAGAUUUAGAUGUAUUCUUUUUUAUUUCUUCUUUCUGCUUUUAUCGCCAAAAGAGUUGGUAAGUUUUUCAUGUUUACAGGGGAUGCAGAAUAGUUUAGAGCUACCACUACAGAAUCCCAUGAGUCGGGCAAACUAUGCAAAAUAGUAGACACUUGCAUCUUAUCAGGAAUUGAUUUCCUAAGACAACUAGCUCUUUUGCAAUUACUGACAUUUUAUUGACAUGUUCAAUGACAUUAUCACUUUCAUUCAUCAUGGUUCCAUUAAAUCUCUCAAUUAAAAGUUGAAUGUAUGUUUCAGAAGAUGCACGAUAUGCUUCAGUAAUAGCAUCAAACAUGGUUUUAGCAUGUGUAUAUUCUCCAAAAAGAAUUUCAAUGUCAGGUUCCAUGAAUGUAAGUAAAAUAUUU